rnacentral:rRNA from 1 species
UACGUAGGGGGCUAGCGUUGUCCGGAAUUAUUGGGCGUAAAGAGCUCGUAGGCGGCUUGUCGCGUCGGAUGUGAAAGCCCGGGGCUUAACUCCGGGUCUGCAUUCGAUACGGGCAGGCUAGAGUUCGGUAGGGGAGAUCGGAAUUCCUGGUGUAGCGGUGAAAUGCGCAGAUAUCAGGAGGAACACCGGUGGCGAAGGCGGAUCUCUGGGCCGAUACUGACGCUGAGGAGCGAAAGCGUGGGGAGCGAACAGG